GACGAACGCUGGCGGCGUGCUUAACACAUGCAAGUCGAACGGAAAGGCCCUGCUUUUGUGGGGUGCUCGAGUGGCGAACGGGUGAGUAACACGUGAGUAACCUGCCCUUGACUUUGGGAUAACUUCAGGAAACUGGGGCUAAUACCGGAUAGGAGCUCCUGCUGCAUGGUGGGGGUUGGAAAGUUUCGGCGGUUGGGGAUGGACUCGCGGCUUAUCAGCUUGUUGGUGGGGUAGUGGCUUACCAAGGCUUUGACGGGUAGCCGGCCUGAGAGGGUGACCGGGAGAGUGGGGCGGGGGCGGAGACACAGAGGGGGGGGGGGGGAGGGGCGGAGGAAAAUUGCGAGAGGGGCGGAAGGGUGAGGCGGAGCGGGCGCGGGGGGGAGGCGGGGUGGCGGGUUGCAGCCCGCGGGAGGAGGGGAGGAGGAGGGAGUGAUGGAAAGGGGUAAAAAAGCAGGGCCUAACGGCGUGCCCGCGGCAGCGAUAAAAGGAGGAAGAGCCAACGAAUGAAC
rnacentral:rRNA from 1 species